rnacentral:rRNA from 1 species
GAGUUUGAUCCUGGCUCAGAAUCAAACGCUGGCGGCGUGCCUAACACAUGCAAGUCGAACGCGAAAGUCCCGCAAGGGGGCAAGUAGAGUGGCAAACGGGUGAGUAACGCGUGGGUGACCUGCCUUCGAGCGGGGGAUAACGUCCCGAAAGGGACGCUAAUACCGCAUAACAUCCUGCCUUUGAAGAGGUGGAGAUCAAAGCUGGGGAUUCGCAAGAACCCGGCACUUGAAGAGGGGCCCGCGUCUGAUUAGCUAGUUGGUGAGGUAACGGCUCACCAAGGCUUCGAUCAGUAGCCGGCCUGAGAGGGCGGACGGCCACACUGGGACUGAGACACGGCCCAGACUCCUACGGGAGGCAGCGAGUGGGGAAUUGUUCGGCAAUGGGCGCAAGCCUGACGACGCAACGCCGCGUGGAGGAUGAAGACUUUCGGGUCGUAAACUCCUCGUCGAACGGGACGAAAGUAC